GGCCCCAGGGGAGGCAACAAACUUCUCUCAGCUGCAAUGCUCCCCCCUCUUUCCCCCUCCCCUCCUUCAACAGGGCAUACAGUGUUUCUGGCAAUGCAUGGAAUGAGUGGGUGAGUUUGCAAAGAGUGGAUGGACUGGGAGAGAGUUUGCAAAAGUGACUUUGCAAAAGCCUCCUCCUGACUGAGGGUUCCUACUUUUUCGUGCAAUCCAGCAGGAUCCCCGUGAAGCGCCUCUCCCCGCAGCUCAAGAUAGCAUUCCCUUUCUGUCUGGACAGAAGAGAAACAGGAGGUCCAUGAUUGUGCCAUUGGUUUCAGAAGCAGCAACCACAGACCUUCUUCUCUCUGAUCACAGCAACGUAUGAACAUGUUUGUUCAGAAGAACAACUGUUAUUAAAUCCCAGAGAAGAACUAAGUUGCAGCAAAGACAAGUCCAGCAAUGCCUUGAAGACUAACAGCUUUAUGUGUGCAUACUAGUGAUGUAAGGAUAUUCAUACAUUUUCUCCUCAGUGUAAAAGGUAUCUUGAUAGGUCAAGAGACUCACUGAAAAAAACACCUGUUGACUCCUAUGAAUUUCACGUUUGGAGAUUUUUUUGCAGUGUGUGAGGGUUUUCUUUUUUGCAUGAAAUACUUUGUUCCAAAAUAUGGGGGGUGGGGGGGGUGGGAGGAACCUCAUAAUCUUACUCAGGGAUGAGAUUUUAAAAAUAUUUUUCAUUGUUGUCAGCAAGUAAGAAAUAAACAAUUUUAUAUUCAUAGUGCACAUACACGUGCAACACACAUAGGAAAGAAAGUGACAGGGAAAAAUGACCAUGCAAUUUGUAAUAUUUCAAUGCAAAGUUUAAACAUACGCAGCACACCAACAGUAGCCACAGAGGACACAGUAAUAUAAGUGUGGGCAAUACAUGGAUAUUUUCUUUUGCUGGGGGGGAGGUGUUGGGGGUCCCUAUUGGUCUCACCAUCACCACUAAGUUUGAUGCUCAGGCAAUGGCAAAAAGUGGCUCUUUAUAUAUGUUGCCACACCACCAAAUUUCAGUGGCAGGUCAGUACGCCUCCUCAAAAUGAGUAAUUCUGCUUUGAAACAAAGUACACAGGGAGUACAGCGCUUCUUUUGAA